GACGAACGCUGGCGGCGUGCCUAAUACAUGCCAGUAGAACGCUGAAGAGAGGAGCUUGCUCUUCUUGGAUGAGUUGCGAACGGGUGAGUAACGCGUAGGUAACCUGCCUUGUAGCGGGGGAUAACUAUUGGAAACGAUAGCUAAUACCGCAUAACAAUGGAUGACACAUGUCAUUUAUUUGAAAGGGGCAAUUGCUCCACUACAAGAUGGACCUGCGUUGUAUUAGCUAGUAGGUGAGGUGAUGGCUCACCUAGGCGACGAUACAUAGCCGACCUGAGAGGGUGAUCGGCCACACUGGGACUGAGACACGGCCCAGACUCCUACGGGAGGCAGCAGUAGGGAAUCUUCGGCAAUGGGGGCAACCCUGACCGAGCAACGCCGCGUGAGUGAAGAAGGUUUUCGGAUCGUAAAGCUCUGUUGUAAGUCAAGAACGGGUGUGAGAGUGGAAAGUUCACACUGUGACGGUAGCUUACCAGAAAGGGACGGCUAACUACGUG
rnacentral:rRNA from 1 species